rnacentral:rRNA from 1 species
AGCGAACGCUGGCGGCAGGCCUAACACAUGCAAGUCGAACGAAGUCUUCGGACUUAGUGGCGGACGGGUGAGUAACACGUGGGAACGUGCCUUUAGGUUCGGAAUAACUCAGGGAAAGUUGUGCUAAUACCGAAUGUGCCCUUCGGGGGCAAGAUUUAUCGCCUUUAGAGCGGUCAGCGUGUGAGUGACUAGUUGGUGAGGUAAAGGCUCACCAAGGCGACGAUCAGUAGCUGGUCUGAGAGGAUGAUCAGCCACAUUGGGACUGAGACACGGCCCAAACUCCUACGGGAGGCAGCAGUGGGGAAUCUUGCGCAAUGGGCGAAAGCCUGACGCAGCCAUGCCGCGUGAAUGAUGAAGGUCUUAGGAUUGUAAAAUUCUUUCACCGGGGACGAUAAUGACGGUACCCGGAGAAGAAGCCCCGGCUAACUUCGUGCCAGCCGCCGCUGUAACAC